UCACUCUCGUACAUCGUAUGUAAAAUUAUUACAAUAAGUAAAUAAAUUAAAUAAAUUCAUAAAACAUAAAGUUACACUUUUAAAAGCUCAUUUAACACUGUUUAACAUUUAAUUUAAAAGAAUUUACAAUCAAAUCUUCCGCCGAAAUAACUCCAGUAAAAAUAGAUCACCGUGAAGCAUCACGGGAAAAUACACAAGUAAACAAAGUAUGGCGGCGGCAGAAGUUUCAGUGAAACGUGUGUACUCGAAGACCAUAAAACAUCGAUCACACAAGAAAUAAGGAUUACAGAAAAAGACUUUAAGGGGAUGGACACUUGGCAAGCAAAAAUAUCAAAGAAUCACAUCCUAUGCUGUCUCCUGCUGCGGAACGGAACAUCUGGUUGCUGGAGAGUAUUUGACCACUUCCUCUUUUGUAGGUUUACUUCCUGCCAGUUUCCACUUAAGCACUGGACCAAUACCAUUAUCUUCCAUCUGGAGACAUUGUAGACUUGAUGAGUUGUACUUUGACAUCCAUUGUGUCCCUUCAGUAUCUACAGAGGAACACGAAACUCGUGAGGUAGGUCUGGAUUCUUGAAGACCACGACGCUUCCGUCGACUUCUACGUCCUGCCAUUGUGAUUUAUUUUUAUUUGAUUUGCUUAAUAAAAUUUUUGUUUCUCAAACACAGACAAAGCGUUGUUAUGAUUCGAUCACAGGACCCGUAAAUUUAAACGGAUC